AGCUCCAAUAGCGUAUAUUAAAGUUGUUGCGGUUAAAAGCUCGUAGUUGGAUUUCCGUUCGAGUUCGUACCUCCCCUUGGGGGUUGGUGUCGAGCUCGAGCCUUUCUGGGUGUAUACGUGCGUACUUCAUUGUAUGACGUAUUCAACCCGGACUUUUACUUUGAGGAAAUUAGAGUGUUUCAGGCAGGCAAACGCCUUGAAUACAUUAGCAUGGAAUAAUAAGAUAAGACUUUGGUCUUGUUUGUUGGUUCAUAGACCGAAGUAAUGAUUAAUAGGGAUAGUUGGGGGCAUUCGUAUUUAACUGUCAGAGGUGAAAUUCUUGGAUUUGUUAAAGACGAACUACUGCGAAAGCAUUUGCCAAGGAUG
rnacentral:rRNA from 1 species